GGGGGAAUAGCUCAGUGGUAGAGCGCUGGAUUCCAGUCCCAGCGGGUCGAUCCCCUCUUCCCUCA
rnacentral:tRNA from 1 species